rnacentral:rRNA from 1 species
UACGGAGGGUGCAAGCGUUAUCCGGAUUUACUGGGUUUAAAGGGUGUGUAGGCGGACUUUUAAGUCCGUGGUGAAAUCUCCGGGCUCAACCCGGAAACUGCCAUGGAUACUAUUGGUCUUGAAUGUUGUUGAGGUGGGCGGAACGGGUCAUGUAGCGGUGAAAUGCAUAGAUAUGACCCGGAACACCGAUUGCGAAGGCAGCCCACUAAGCAAUGAUUGACGCUGAGGCACGAAAGCGUGGGGAGCAAACAGG